rnacentral:sRNA from 12 species
GCCCUAUAUAAGAUGCAUCAACGCAAGAUAGUUGAACAUCUCCCUGUAGGGUUUAGUUUACCAGAAGCUUUGACAACAAGUCUUAUUGUGUGGCUACGGUCGAAAUGGGGUGAGUCAGAGUGGAAUAGGUUAACCGUAAGACCUUGAGUUGGAAAACUCUAAAAUUGAGCUAGGAGUACGGAUUUCGUAUUUUCUAGUUACGGUUCG